GUAGGUGGCAAGCGUUGUCCGGAAUUAUUGGGCGUAAAGCGCGCGCAGGCGGUCCUUUAAGUCUGAUGUGAAAGCCCACGGCUCAACCGUGGAGGGUCAUUGGAAACUGGGGGACUUGAGUACAGAAGAGGAAAGCGGAAUUCCACGUGUAGCGGUGAAAUGCGUAGAGAUGUGGAGGAACACCAGUGGCGAAGGCGGCUUUCUGGUCUGUAACUGACGCUGAGGCGCGAAAGCGUGGGGAGCAAACAGGGAUUAGAUACCCUGGUAGUCCACGCCGUAAACGAUGAGUGCUAAGUGUUAGGGGGUUUCCGCCCCCUUAGUGCUGCAGCUAACGCAUUAAGCACUCCGCCUGGGGAGCACGGCCGCAAGGCUG
rnacentral:rRNA from 1 species